rnacentral:rRNA from 1 species
UGGGGAAUAUUGCACAAUGGGCGCAAGCCUGAUGCAGCGACGCCGCGUGAGGGAUGAAGGCCUUCGGGUUGUAAACCUCUUUCGUCAGGGAACAAGGCACUGCUUUUGGUGGUGUUGAGGGUACCUGGAUAAGAAGCGCCGGCUAACUACGUGCCAGCAGCCGCGGUAAUACGUAGGGCGCAAGCGUUGUCCGGAAUUAUUGGGCGUAAAGAGCUCGUAGGCGGCUGGUCGCGUCUGUCGUGAAAACUUCCGGCUCAACCGGGGGCUUGCGGUGGGUACGGGCCGGCUAGAGUGCGGUAGGGGUAACUGGAACUCCUGGUGUAGCGGUGGAAUGCGCAGAUAUCAGGAAGAACACCGAUGGCGAAGGCAGGUUACUGGGCCGUUACUGACGCUGAGGAGCGAAAGCGUGGGGAGCGAACAGGAUUAGAUACCCUGGUAGUCCACGCCGUAAACGUUGGGCACUAGGUGUGAGGCUCCUUUCCGGGGGUUUUGCGCCGUAGCUAACGCAUUAAGUGCCCCGCCUGGGGAGUACGGCCGCAAGGCU